CCGACCUUAGCUCAGUUGGUAGAGCGGAGGACUGUAGUGUGAAAUUGUCAGAUAUCCUUAGGUCGCUGGUUCGAAUCCGGCAGGUCGGA
rnacentral:tRNA from 1 species